GUGACACCCUGGAGCUCCAGUUUCUUCGUUUGCAAAAUGGGAUCCUCAGAGACACCCACCUGGCCCUUUCACAACAGCAGCCAGCACGUUCCUGAUAUGGCAGACAAUGCUGUGUGCAACACAUCGUCUCCUCAUCUGGACACGCGACAAUGGUGCUCCCAGCCGCCCUCACAGUGAGCCUGGGCACGUGACGUUCUCGCCAACGGACCUCGCACAGAAGCGAUGUGCCACUUCUAGUCCAAGGCAGAGAGUGCUCCCCGACCCAUCUCUCUUCUCUGGCUGCAGUUAUUCUGAGGCCUCUGAUUCCGGCCUCAGGCAGCCUGGAUUCCUGCACUGGCUGGGAGGAGGCCCAUCCAGGGGGCCUCUUAUCAGACUGUGACAUGUGAGCAAAAAAGAGACUUUUUUUACUAAGCCACUGAGACAGUAUCAAUGACUCUGAAUAAGACACCUAAUAAAACAAAAGUCAAAUCAA
rnacentral:lncRNA from 10 species